rnacentral:tRNA from 1 species
UAGGGUUUUACAUAUCUAAUUUGCAAUUAGAAUUAAAGAUAAAUUAUCUUAAACCUUAG